UUCGGGAGUACACGAGCGGCGAACGGGUGAGUAACACGUGAGCAAUCUGCCCUUCUCUUCGGAAUAACCAUUGGAAACGAUGGCUAAUGCCGAAUACGACCUCCCUUCGCAUGUUGGGAGGUGGAAAGCUCCGGCGGAGAAGGAUGAGCUCGCGGCCUAUCAGCUUGUUGGCGGGGUAACGGCCCACCAAGGCAACGACGGGUAGCCGGCCUGAGAGGGUGACCGGCCACACUGGGACUGAGACACGGCCCAGACUCCUACGGGAGGCAGCAGUGGGGAAUAUUGGACAAUGGGCGAAAGCCUGAUCCAGCAACGCCGCGUGAGGGAUGACGGCCUUCGGGUUGUAAACCUCUUUCAGCAGGGACGAAGCGAAAGUGACGGUACCUGCAGAAGAAGGACCGGCCAACUACGUGCCAGCAGCCGCGGUAAUACGUAGGGUCCGAGCGUUGUCCGGAAUUAUUGGGCGUAAAGGGCUCGUAGGCGGUUUGUCGCGUCGGGAGUGAAAACUCAGGGCUUAACCCUGAGCGUGCUUCCGAUACGGGCAGACUAGAGGGAUGCAGGGGAGAACGGAAUUCCUGGUGUAGCGGUGGAAUGCGCAGAUAUCAGGAGGAACACCGGUGGCGAAGGCGGUUCUCUGGGCAUUACCUGACGCUGAGGAGCGAAAGCAUGGGGAGCGAACAGGAUUAGAUACCCUGGUAGUCCAUGCCGUAAACGUUGGGCGCUAGGUGUGGGGACCUUCC
rnacentral:rRNA from 1 species